rnacentral:rRNA from 1 species
CAGAGCGAACGCUGGCGGCGUGCUUAACACAUGCAAGUCGAGCGAGAAAGAGGGCUCCGGCCCUUGAGUACAGCGGCGAACGGGUGAGUAACACGUGGGUAAUCUACCCUUGAGACGGGGAUAACCCGGGGAAACUCGGGCUAAUACCGGAUAAGACCACAGAAGGCAACUUCAGGGGUCAAAGGGAGCUUUCUUCGGAGAGCGCUCGUUCAAGGAGGAGCCCGCGUCCUAUCAGCUUGUUGGUGGAGUAAAAGCCUACCAAGGCGAAGACGGGUAGCUGGUCUGAGAGGAUGGUCAGCCACACAGGGACUGAGACACGGCCCUGACUCCUACGGGAGGCAGCAGUGGGGAAUAUUGGACAAUGGGGGAAACCCUGAUCCAGCGACGCCGCGUGGGUGAUGAAGGCUUUCGGGUCGUAAGCCCUGUCAGGAGGAAAGAACGUUCUUAUGGUGAAUACCCAUGGGAAAUGACGGUACCUCCAAAGGAAGCACCGGCCAACUCCGUGCCAGCAGCCGCGGGUAAGAC